AUGAUAUUUUUCUAUACAAACUUAACAUGUCAUGUUAAAUACUUGAACUAUAAGAAAAAAAUUAAAGAAAGCACAGCAUUUGACUGUUCUCAUAUCCUAUAUACUUUUGUCACUUUUUAUUUCCUCAAACUUUUGUUGCAACCUGCAGAUCCUACACAUGAUAAACCUUAACAAAGCAAAGUGUGGAAUGCAGCUAGCUUUUUUAGUCAGAGGUUCAUCGUUUUGGCUCAUUCAACGUCUUACCCUCAAAAAAUUCACCAAGCAUACGUUCAAGAUCUUCAGCCGAGUAGUACCUGAUAUACUUUGGGGGUUCUUACCGCUCUCAACCAUGGGCCUACUCCAGAAAAUACAUUGAAUUAUCAGAAUAAGAUUAGAAGUAAUCAUACAAGAAAAACUGACUUACUAUGAAGUUUGAAGCAAUGUUAUAUUGGCAUAAUACAUAAACAAACAUUAAACUUGAUCUCAGAUGGCAAGUAAACACUUCGAUCAACUUUGAAAGUGCACAUCUAGACACCUCAACUUUCAUUUGAUAUGUCAUGGGCGUUGGAAAGAGGAUUCAAUUAUCUUUCAUUUGAUAGGUCAUGGCCAUGGGCCACCCAAUUCCUUUUGUGCUAAGAGUUAUGACCGUUUGAAGUUAAACUACAACCUGUAUAGAAAUCAGCCCAAUCGAACACUCACAGACCAAUAGUCACAGUUCAGCAACCAAUAAGCUUCAAGUAUAUCUAGAGACGGAUCUAGGAUUUGGAGGUCGUGGGUGCCAUAUCAUUCGAGUAAGAUAAAAGGAUCGGUUGCUUUAAUUUUGGGUUACAAUUCGGGUUAUUAAUCUUUUUUAUUUUUAUAAACAAAUCAAUCAAAUAUGCAUGUUAGUAAUAUUCUUUUUUUUAGAUAUUCCGAGAUUAGAGAUAAUUAAACAAUUCAAUUUUAAUUUACUUUUUGGAAUUAGAUGUCUUAUUCGUUGAAAUUUUGUGAAAAAAAAAAAUUUCACAUUAAAAUUUGAGCUUGUAUAAACUAUUUAACAGUAUGAACUUAAUAUAUUCAUAUUCCAUUGACUUUAUGUGUUGUUGGAGAUAUAUAGUAGGGAAAAAAUAAAAAUUAUAGUUUCAGCAUAGUCAUCUUACUUAGCAAGAACAUCAGUGAAGAUCGAAAGAACAUUUAAAUUAAAAAAAAUUAUCCUAAUAAUAUUCAUCAUUUUUAAAACUUAUAUUUUUUAAAAACUACUAUUUAAAUAUAUUCUUAAUAAUAUUUAUUUGACGUUCAUAAUUCAGCAAUCAUUAAUUGAUAAAGAAUAAACAUGUAACACUCAUAUCAAUAGAUUAAUAGUUAGUGAAAGAGAAAGUAAAAAAAAAGAAAUUAAUUGUGAAAAAGAGUCAAUUUGAAUUAAUAAAGAAUAGUAAAUAAAUAAGAAUGAAUGGAGAAAAAAAUGAAAGCCCUUUACAAAUUAAUUAAAAAGACAAAAAAAAAUGAAAAAAGGAGCAAAAAAGACAAAAAAAAAGAAAAGAAAUGAAAAAAGGAGCAAACAAAAAAAACAGGUGCUUGCAGCAAGGUUCGAACCCGCAUUGGCUGUGUGGCAAGUGGCCUCCUUAACCAAUUGAACUGUUCAGCAUUUCAGUUAUUGGGUGGCAAAGUUAAUAUAUAUUUAAGUUUUAGAUAUAUAUAUGUACAUAUAUAUACAACGUUUUUUCCGAAAUCACUGGGUGCCGUGGCACCGCCACCUAACCACGUAGAUCCACCCCUGAGUAUAUCAAUCACACAUAUCAAGUAGGUCAUUCACACGUAUCAAGUAGAUUAAUCACAAGUGUCCAGUAGAUCAAUCACAAGUAUCAAAAUGCAUCAAAUUACAAUAAUCAAACUCUUGUCGGAACCAUUUUCCUUCGACACAAUAUCACUACCCAGAACCAUUUCCCUUCGACUUUAUAUCAUAACAUUGUAAAAAUGGUACUCCAUAAAUUUCAAUAGUUAAAAAGGGUGGCAUGUAAAUCAAAAUAAGUGAAGCCCACAGUGGGCAAUGAAAUUUAUUUUGAAGGGCUAAAAACGUCUUUACAGUAGAGAAGGAAAACAAAGCUGCAACCAAUGAAAAAAAAGAAAAGAAAUUAGCUCAAAAGACUCAACUACCUUCAGCAGGCAUUGACCUAUGGUUUGCUUGAGAUGGUGAAGCUCCCUUUUAUAAUAAAGUAUAAUAUAAUAUAAAAUAUAAUAUAAUAAUAAUAAUAAUAGAUUUCAAAGCUACAAAAGAAAAAAAAAAUGUAUACUCCCUUUGUCCCAUUAUAUAGGGAAAAUGCAUAGUACCCCCAACCUAUUCCCGAAAUCUCAGAGACACACUUAUGCAUUUUCCCCAUUAUAUAUGAGUAAGUUUGAUUUAACACAAAAUUUAAGGAAAUUUUUUUUUUUAAAAUUUAUGGUCUAACAUAAGUGAUACUCUUUGUUCCUAUUUAUAUGUCGUCUUUACUAAAAAUAGAUGGUCUUUAAUAUUUGUCAUUUUACAAAAUCAAUGCAUAAAUAAUAUUAUUCUUUCUAUUUUACCCUUUGCUAUUAACCUUGAAAGUAUACAUUUAUCCAACAUAAAAAAACUAAGUGAUUAAUUUAUUUUUAUUGGUCAAAUUAGUUAAUCAAAGUAAAUUAAUUUAUGUUCAUUUUUUGAAACCUUAACUUCAAGAGAACACAAAAUAAGGGUACAAUGACAAACUUACUUGGUUACUUAAGGGGUGUGAAACCUAAAACGGUGACAACUAAAUAGAAAUGGAGGGAGUAGAUGUUUAUGUGACUAAAUCAUUUCAUUAAGGAUAAAAUGAACAUUUUAAAGUUAAAUUAUCGCUAAAUAUAGAAAUAUGUUAUAUUUUUAGACCGACUAAAAAAGUAAAUGAAUCAUAUAAAUUAGGGCAGAGGGAGCAAGGGCGGACCUAGGUGGAGCCUAGCUGAACCCCCUCGUCAAAAAAUAACACUAUGUACAUAACGUCAAAUUUGACUUUAUGUGUAUAUAUAUUAAAAUGAACCCCUUGAGAACAAAGGACAAACUUGGCCCAAUGGAUAAGUGGGUCAUGUAAUGCCCCUAUGUCACGGGUUCAAGUCCCAUUGGCAACAUUUUUUCCCUUUUUUAAUAUUAGCUUUGGUAAAUGGAACUUUUGGGCUUAGACCAUCUCCAAUCCACCUCUAUUUUACUCUCCAUUCUCUAUAUUUGGAGAGUAAAAUAGAGAAUGGACACUCCAACCAACCUCCAAAUCACCCUCUAUUCUUCAAAUUUAGAGAGUUGAAUAGUAGUUCUCCAAAUUUGAAGAACUACUAUUCACACUUUCUAUUUCACUUUUUCAUUAGUUUAUUAUUAUUUCUAUUACUUUAUAAUUAACAUAUUAUUUUACAUAUAAUUUCAUUAAUUAAAUAUCUAAUAUUCAUAAUUCUUUUUAAAUGUAAUAUAAUAUUUUUAAAAAAUUAUUUAAUAUAUACUACUUUAAUUUCAAAUUAAUAGUAUUUUUUAAAAAAUUCUAAUUUUCGUCAUUAAUUUUCAUUAUAAAGAAUACACAAAAUUAAAAUGGCAAGAUGAAAAAUUUAAUUUAAAAAUGCAAUACAUAAUAUGAUAAUUUAAAUACAAGAUAACAAUACAAUAUAUAACAUAAUAAUUUAAAUACAAGAUAACAAUACAAUACAUAACAUAAUAAUUUAAAUACAAGAUAAAAUACAACACAUAACAUAAUAAUUAAUUUAUUACAACAAUAAUUUAGUAAUCCGGUAGGUCGUUUCCAGAUUUAGCAAUAUUCAGAAAAAAAUUAGGAUAUGAUUCUGAGAAUUGUUGCGAUUAUGGUUGUGAUUGUCGAUUUCUUUUUUCAAGUAUUCGUUGUUGUUCUCGUUGCAGGUAAUCACGAACAUUUAGAUCACUAAUAGUUUCUAAAUUUUUCAUUAAAAUUUUAUUUUCGUCUCUAAAUUCCUUGGCUUUGAUAUAUCUACAUUUAUUUUCCAAUCUUGUUAGCGGUAUUGCGCCUCCAGCCCAUUAUGUUAUUCAAGGAAAAGAAUAUGUUAUGGGUUAUUACUUAGCUGACGGUAUAUAUCCUAAAUGGUCUACAAUUGUUCAAACUAUUCGUGAUCCUUAUUCCUAAAAGAAGAAAUAUUUCGCGAUGAAACAAGAAUCGUGCAGAAAAGAUGUUGAACGUGCAUUUGAAGUUUUGCAAUCACGUUUUGCAAUUAUUGCAGGACCGUCACGUUUUUGGAGAAAGGAAGUGCUACAUGAUAUAAUUACUACAUGUAUUAUACUGCACAACAUGAUAAUUGAGGAUGAACGUGAUCUCAAUGCACCAAUUCAAGAUGUCGUAGAGGCUCCAACUCCAACUAUAGAAAUGGUGGUAGAUGAAAAUCUCUGGUUUGAACAAUUUUUAGCUAGACAUAAAAAAAUUAAGGACAAAAAUGCUCAUUUUGAACUUCGUAAUGCAUUAAUAGAACAUUGAUGGGAGCAACGUAAUAAUUUUGAAAAUUGAGUGUUUAUGUAAUUGUAUGUCACUUUUAUUUGAAUUUGUCCAUUAAUUUAUGUAUUAUAUUAUAUUUUCUUGCAAUUUAAGUUAUUUAAAAAUUUAGAAUAAAAUAUAAUUUUAUAUCACAUUAAAAAUUAUAUAAAGUAAUUAUUUGGGAAAAAAAAAUAAAGGAUUUAUAUUAUGAAAUAAGAAAAUAAGAAUGAAAUGGAAAUAAUAAUAUAAUAUUGAGGAGAGAGAAAAAAAUUCCUUUUUAGAGAGUAAAAUAGAGAAUUGGGUUGGAGUUGGUUGUCUGAAAAAAUAGAGAACUCUAUAUUUGGAGAGUAAAAUAGAGGAUAGGGUUGGAGAUGCCCUUAGACCUUCUUCUUCAUUUUCAUUAUUUUUUCCUUUUAUUCCAUUUCUUCUUUUUAAUUUAUUUUUGUUUAAAUUUAUUAUACACAUUCUUUUUAUUUUUAUAUUUUAUUCCUUUUAUAUCUAUUAUUCAUUUUGUUACAAUAUAACUCUUUUUUCAUAUACGUUUGAAUAACUUUUUUUUAAAAAUGAUGAAUUAUAUUUAACUUGAAAUUGAGAUAGAAAUAUAGUUUGUUUUUUUUUUAAAUGUAAAUUAGAUGUAAUUGAAUGAAGAAACUUAAAUAUCGUCAACGUCCUUCUAAAAAUAUUAAUUUAAUAGAAUUCUUGAAAUUUCUUUUAUAUUUUUAAUUCUAUUUUAGUGAGAUGAAAACUAAACUUAUUUGAUUUAUUCGUUAUUUAAUUUUAAGAAUGCUCGAUGGAGCAUGAUAAAAGUAAAAAGAAAUGUUUAAUACGGUAUGAUAAAGUGAGUUCAAUUUAGCAUGACAAGGUAAAUAUCUUUCUUCCCCGUCUCGCUCCCCUUUUCAUCAUUUAAUUUUCAUGUGUUUUAGGAAUUAACUUAUGUAAUACAGUCUAUCCACUAAAAUUCUUAUCAAUGCAUCUUUGUCCUCGAUAUCUUUGAUUAGCUUAGUCUUUACUUUUAUGAACCAAUGAAAUAUCUAUGGUUCUUGUACAAAGAGCAUGCCGAGGGGCUACUACGCUCACCGCACACUUGCAUUACCACCUGAACUUCUUCUUUAUACUUCGAACCCCCUGAGCAAAAAUCCUGGGUCCGCCACUGAGAGGGAGUACUACAUUUCAAAUUGAAAAUAUGGCAAUCAUGAUUAAUUUGAUAGGAUAUUUAAUUUAGCUACUUUAUUAAAUAAUUUACAAAUUCUAUUUGGAACUAUAUGAAAUAGUGCACAUAUACCCUUGAGUCGUUUUUUACAUUAAAAAAUAUCCCUUUGAGUUGGGGUUGCUCGCUAUCACUUAAUAAAAUGUUUCUUUGAUACUCCAUAUGUCCCUAAUUACUUGUUUAUUUUUUAAAUGACACAUCUAUUAAGAAAACAAUGAAUGACAUAGUGAGUUUACCAUUUUACUCCUAUUAAUUAUGAAGUGGGUGAAUUAAAAACUUGAGAUUUUUAAGAAGUUCUACCUUUUUUCAUAGUAAUUAAUUGAGGAUAUAAUAGGUAAAAAUAAUUUGUCCUUUCUUGAUUUGUCAAAAUAGACAAAUAAUUAGGGAUAACUAAAAAAGGAAAAGUGGGCAGGUAAUUAGGGACAGAGGGAGUAUGUAUUAUAAGGAAAUAGGAAGAGCACAUGAACAUAUUAAUUAAGAAUUGACUAAUAAUAGAAGAUGGAAUUUCAACAUACCUUUUGAGUAAUUUGAAGUUGUAGCUCAUAAUUUCCCAAGCUUUCUUGCUCUUGUUGAAUUUUCUUUGCACUAUUUACUACACCAGAACUGCAAUCAACUAUUUGGAUUAACUUUAGUGUCAUUGUAUCUCCAAUACUCUCCGGAAUCUCCUCCAGUUGAAUAAACCAAUGCAGUAUUAGUUGCUCAAGCAUCGGAAAAUUAUCACUACCAUCUGCUUCCCACCUUUGAAAAUCAUAGGGCCCAUACAGUUGUAGAUAUUUUAAUUUAUGAAACACAACAUCUUCAUCUACUUUCCAAUCUGUUCCAGAAAAUGCACGAUACCCUUUGAGCACCUCAAGAUUCGGUAAAUUAGCCAGCAAAUUCACAACUUCCCAUGGUAUACGAGUACGUGUUAAUGUCAACUUCUUGAGAUUAGGAAGAAAAAUAUCUCCUGGGAUAAUCACCGGGUCAAUGUUGUUUCGUGUUUCUAUGUGUAGUGUCUCCAUAUCCUGUAAAAGACUGAGAGAAUCAAGAAAAUCAGGAAGCUUGGAUCUAUCUAAAAUCUUUAGCUUUUUUAGAUUGGGAGUUCUUCUUAUGAUUUCCGCAACAAAAGGAGAAUAAUGAAGAUAAAGCGUUUGCAAGUUAUUCAGAAGGCACAAAGGUUGUUCUGCUUCAAGGGGAUUUGAUAUAUAAUUUGGCCAUCUAAUAUCCAAAUGUCUUAUCUCUGACAUUCUCCAGAUAUCUAGUGACUGCUUCAACGUUGUUGGUAUGAAAGAGAUAUAUCUUCGAAGAACUAUGGUCUGUAGAUUUCUCAAUUUGUCUAGUGAACUAGCUUCCUUAAUUCUUACAGCAACAUAUCUCAAAUGUACAAGCUCAGGUAUUACCCAAGAGAAAUCGUAUUCAAUUGAUAAUACAUCCAAUACCUUAAGCAACUUCAACUGUGAACACAUCCAUUUUGGAAAAGCUACAUCCACUGAAAUAAAGGUACGUAUUAUACCACUGCUAUGUCGCAGACGAUAAUCAUGCUUCUCUUCAUCAUUAGACACAAGGAUCACUCGACGUUGAUCAUCUAUGGCUUUGAGAGCAUCCCCAUUCAUGACAUGCAAAACAUUUUCAGUAUGAGCUUCACUUAGGCACAAUUGGCGAAGAAGAUCGUGAAUUUUGCAACUUCUCAUCCUUCCAUUAGCCCUUUGUUGACCAAUCAAAAUUAGACUUCUAUCAAUUAACUCUUUUACAUACUCCUCUGCUACCACUUCUAAUCUUUUAUUCUUUCUUGCCUUUACGAAUUGCUCAGAAAUCCAUAGCCUAAUCAACUUGGAAACGUUAAUCUCUCUGUCUUCUGGAAAACCUCCAAUAUAGAGAAAACAAGCCUUCAAAUAUUGGGGCAAGUAAUUGUAGCUCAGAGAAAGAAUUGAUUGGCACCGUUCGGACACCGUACCAAAGAAUGAGUUCAGAUUUUCCUCAACCUCCUUCCAAUUAUCAUGUGUAGGGUCCAUUUUUCAAAGAAGUCCAGCAACGACAAUAAUCGAGAGAGGUAAUCCUUGACAUUGUUCUACAAUAUGCUUCCCCAUUUCUACAAGUAAAGGAGGACACGGAUCUUUUUUGAAUAAUUUUUCGGUGAAUAGAUUCCAACUAUCAUCUUGACUUAGAAAAGACAUACUAUGAGGAGGAAAAUCAGGGCAGUUUACAUAAUCAGCAACAUACUUGAGCCGAGUAGUUAAUAGAAUUCGGCUUUUAUUGUCAUCAUUUGGAAAUAUUCUUUGCAUUUGGUCCCAUGCCUCAGUACUCCAAAUAUCAUCUAUGACAAAUAGGAAUCUCCUACCCUUCAAACCUCUAUACACAAUCUCCAUUAGUUCAUCAUCGCUCACUUCUUGAUUGCUUCCCGUAAUUGAAGAGACAACUUCAAGAAGCAUUUGUCUCUUAUUGUAUUCUUGGGAGAUAGUGACCCAUGCAUGUUUAUCAAAUCGAGAACGAAUAGAUGAAUCAUCAUAAACUUUUCUUGCAAGAGUUGUCUUACCGAUACCGCCCAUACCAAAAAUUGGUAUGACAGUCAACUCGCCUAUUUGGGAAGUGACGCGAUCAAGUAUGGUGUUGAGGUCAUCCUGCAUCCCAACAAUAGUAUUUUCCUCAAUUUUACUUCUUUCUGGUGAGGAAGAAGUUGUUGCUAAUUCUGCAGAUUUGCUUCCAUGCAUACUAAACUCAAUCAGCAUCACUUGUUUUUUGAGAAUAUACACUUGUUCAUCCACUUUCAACAAUUCUUCAUAAAAGGAUGUACAAGCCUUUUGCCGCUUGUCCUCACGAUCUGCUAGAAUGAUGUUUCUUAGACUUGAAUCAACUCUAUCUUCUGCUUUGUGUACUACAUUUCUGAUCCUCUUUUCUACCACCUUGAAAUUGAAACUCGAUAAAUUAAUUAUUAUUUUAAAAAAUGUAAUUACCCUUUUUUUAAUGAUGGGUUAAUUGGUAAUUUUAACCCUAAUAAUAAUAAUAAUGAGAAUUAAAAAGGUGUAGGCCAAUCCUAAUCUCUUGGUCUUUGUUGCUGCAGCAGAAGGUCAUAGACAGAAUUAACUGAAUUUCUGUACCAAUGACUGAAAGUAAUGUUUUGGCAAUUAGGACAAUUAGCAUGCUACGGAUUUGGAGUUAGUUACUGAAUUAGCUAUUCAUAUCACCGCUACCAUAAAUUAGUUGCUGCCAAAAAAAAUUCAGAUUUCAUCCAAAGUAUUAAUUAAUAGAUUGACCAUCAUUUAGGGACUGAAGUGUAUAAUUAUUGGAUAGAUGAUUCAUUAGUUAAAUUUAGACAGCUUGACUGGAAUAUUUUACCUUUAAUUCAUGGCUUGAAGUGUAAGAUAUUAAGGUUUAGCCCUAAGCUUAAAGUUUGGGAUAUUUAGACUUGACCUGACUAGCAUUAUUGAUAUCGUUAAUCACUAUUUUGCAUAGAUUGAGGCAAGUGGGGGCUGUUUUGGUUGGUGUUCUACACCCAACAGGUGGUGUUAGCGGGUGUCAGUCACGUCUAGGGGGUAUUUUGAGAUGUGACAAAAAAUAUAUAAGAUCAGUAAGAUUUAGAUAACUAUACUAGUGAAUUACAUACCUUAAGAGUUUCAAUAUCCUUUGUAGUAUCGUCAAGGAAAUCUUGCAGAGCAGAAAGAUUUUGAUGGAGAGAUUCGACAUGUUGUUGUGUAGAACUUCGACAAACGAAAGAUUGGUUAGGUUUGAAGAGUUGUUCCAAUGUAUACAUGAGUGAAGAAAGAGCAGCAUAAGCCAUUUCUCUUAACAAAAGAAUUAUUGCAGUUUGCUGGAAUAAAGAUAGAGGCUUACAAGUUUAAUGUCUCUGCUUUGUUAUUAUUAGGCUAAGAGGUUUUGUCCAAAUGAUUUACAUUUUUUAUUUCUACCUUUUUCUAAAUGGGGGACAAAGACUUAGGAUGCUCACCCUUUAUAAUUUAUUUUCUAAUUGGUAGGUCAACGCAAUCAAAUUGAUUAAAGUCGUAAUAUAUAAAUGUGUGAUUUAACUUGACCUCAUUUCAUAUUUAUGAUCUCAUUUCUAAAUGCAAUCGUUCAUUUUCUAUAACUUGUAGAUUAUUGAUUUGGUUAUAAAAUUGCGAUUCACAUUUUUAUCGUCAAACACAACUCCAAUUUCUUAAAUUCAAAUAAAAUUUAAAAAUAAUUAAAAUAAAUUAGGGCCUUAAAUAUAGAAAAUUUGGGCAUGAUUAAUUAUUUUUCCUGUUAUUUUGUUGUUAUUGAUGAAUAUUAUAUUACACUAGGUAAUUUGUCCGCGCUUCGCGUGGUCAUAAAUAAUAAUUGCACUGAACUUGCAAAUAAUCCAUUACUAAUAUCCAUAUAUUAAAAAUAAUAGGAAAAAUAGGUUCUUAAAAAAAUAUUAGCAAUAUUCCAACAUGAAUUUGAUUAUUUGUCAUUAUCACAUAACUCAAGAACCUCUAAUGAAUGAAUUAUUGAGGAAAUAAUAAAUUAUUGGUUCUUUAAUCAACAUUAAAAGGAAAAUAAAGAAGAAAAUAAGAAUAUAUAUACAAAGACAUUUCGUAAGAAAAAGAACACAUUUAAGUUGAAUAGAUUAUACAAUUGUAAUAUAUGUCUCAGGGGAAAAUUCAAAAAUUUGUUAACAGAUUCAAAAUAGAAAUUACUCUUGAACAUGAAAGCAAUUAUAACUUUUGAACUUGCAUAAUGAAUUUCUUCAAUGGAUAAGUGAGAAACUUCAUAUCUAUGUAAAAGUAGAUAAUAUGUAAGCCUAUAUAUAGUACUUUUAAGUUAUAGAAUUUUAUAUAGAACUAGUAAAAUUACCCGUGCUUCGCGCGAAAAUUUAUUAUUACGAAAUUUAUAAAAUAAUACUUAAAACAUAUCAGUCAUUAGAACUAAAACACUAUAUUAUCUUACAUACAAGAUUACGUAGUAAUAAACAUUAAUAAUGUAAAGGACAAUGAAAAAUAUUACAUCUUAUCAUUUAUCCUCAAUAACAUAAGCAUAAAGUAAUUAUUGUAAAAAUACAUACCAAGAUCUGUAUAUGGAGGGNNNNNNNNNNNNNNNNNNNNNNNNNNNNNNNNNNNNNNNNNNNNNNNNNNNNNNNNNNNNNNNNNNNNNNNNNNNNNNNNNNNNNNNNNNNNNNNNNNNNNNNNNNNNNNNNNNNNNNNNNNNNNNNNNNNNNNNNNNNNNNNNNNNNNNNNNNNNNNNNNNNNNNNNNNNNNNNNNNNNNNNNNNNNNNNNNNNNNNNNNNNNNNNNNNNNNNNNNNNNNNNNNNNNNNNNNNNNNNNNNNNNNNNNNNNNNNNNNNNNNNNNNNNNNNNNNNNNNNNNNNNNNNNNNNNNNNNNNNNNNNNNNNNNNNNNNNNNNNNNNNNNNNNNNNNNNNNNNNNNNNNNNNNNNNNNNNNNNNNNNNNNNNNNNNNNNNNNNNNNNNNNNNNNNNNNNNNNNNNNNNNNNNNNNNNNNNNNNNNNNNNNNNNNNNNNNNNNNNNNNNNNNNNNNNNNNNNNNNNNNNNNNNNNNNNNNNNNNNNNNNNNNNNNNNNNNNNNNNNNNNNNNNNNNNNNNNNNNNNNUCUAAGAUUCUCUUUUAUAUAUAUAUAUAUAUAUAUAUAUAUAUAUAUAUAUGAUAUCAAAACAUGAAUUCUUGAAACUGAGUACAAUAAUUUACCUACUAUAUGUGUAUAUGUUCAAUAUAACUGGAGACAAUUGAUCUUAGGCAUAUAAAAUAUGCCUAAGUUGUCAGUCUUUGCCCAUGAAUUGAUUAGAUUAAAGAAUGAUCUUUAGUUAUUAGCUUGAUUUUUUUGGUGUAACUUCUAAUGAUUGUACACUUACACACAUGAUUAGUUGUUUCAGGAACUCUCAAGGAAAUUGGAGUCAACUUGAAGAAAAGAGAUGCAAGAGAGCAUGAAAAGCGGCUAAGGAAAAAGGCCCCAGGGCCAGGCGCACUGCUAUGCGCAAGGCGCCAGGGGCCAACAUUCAGAGCCCUCUCUCAGGCGUGCUAAGAGGCGCGAGGCGCCAAGGGCCAAAGUUCUGAUGCGCCUGAUUGGCGCUCUGCAAGGCACGACGCGCCAAGCCUCAACAUUCAGAGGCGUUUUCCUGGCGCUCUAUUAGGAACACCGUUCCACAGUGGGAAGUACUGAACUGAUUUCUAGGAGUGAUGGGAGGCCCGACACACCAGUGGGACCCCGACUUUUCCAGCUUAAAAGUGUUAAAAAAGGAUUCCUAAUUGAAAUAGACUUUGGCUUUAAUUUUCCUAUUAUUAUAAAUAGACCCUUAGGGCUCCAUUGUUAGGGUUCGACUUUUAUUGGGUGUGCAAGAGCAAGCAUCCACGUUUGUAAUAGGUUUCGAUCUUCUAAACUCUUCUAUUUUCUGGAAAUCGCAUAAACAACUGUAUUUUUGUGGUUUUCUAAUAGCAUGAGUGGCUAAACACCUUAGUUCUGGGGUUGUAGCUACGAAUGGAUUGUUGAUUAUUAAAGGCUUGUUGAAUUAAUUUUUGGUUGUCAUUAUAAGUUACUUCUAUAUUCUUAUUUUAGUAUUUUAUGAUUGAUCACCAUAAGAUAAAUAUAUUGUCUAAACUUAAAUCGGGAGAGGAGAGGUUAGAUAGAACAUAGAAUAUAGAGAGCUUGAUCGACCCAUUAAGUUGAGCUGAUUUGUGUUCAGGAGUGACGCCAAGACGAACAACUCGCUUGGUUACGAAAUAGGAUGAAAUAUAAAUGCUCGUCAGUUAGUCUAUUUAUCCCUGCUCAAUGAAGUAGUUAGAUAGCUAACUGGGGUAGGCAACUAGAGGUGUGAAUCUGACUCAUACAAUUAACCUUGUAAAUCAAUAACUUGACGACUAAAAUUAGUUCUAACCCAAUAAAAUGAUACAUGAGAUUCAUUGCAUGCUGCAGCCCUGGAAUUAUCUUUUACUUGCUUGAAACAUCAUCUUAAAGUCGUUCACAUUUAGUUGCGUUUAUUUAGUUCAUAAUUAGUAGUAGUUAACAAUCAUCACCAUCUCUGAAACGGUUACUUCUAUUUUAUUUAUGGAGUUGAGUGUUGGAUAUAAGUUAAUCAUAAGUCCUUUGGGAACGAUAACUCGUUUCUUUAAGAAUUUAUAUUACUUGAGCGACCACGUACACUUGCGUGUAUAUUGGGGAGCAACAACAAUAAUUUUGCAGAAACAUAAACAACAAAGUUUAAAACAGGUACUCAAAAACAACAAUUAUAUCAUAAGCAUAAAUUAAUUAUUGUAAAAAAAAAUACCAGGAUAUGUAAAAAUAGAAUGAAAUAGAAAGGAAAAAACCAAGUCCACUGAAUGCACAGUGUCCCCUUAAGAAAAUUAUUCCUUUCUAAUACCUGAGGUUUAGAGAAUUAGACCCUCUCAGGAUAGAAUGAUUUUAUUCACCAAUGUAUUGAUACAAAAACAAUGGUGUCAGUAAGCCACUCAACAGGAGCAAAGUACACGAAUAUUUAAUUGUGCAGAAGAAGAAGAAGAAGUUCUGAAUUUUCGUUGUUUUAAAAUGAGAGGAAAUCCCUCUAUUUAUAGACAACAAAGGGUAGUGUGAACUAAGUCUGGCAACGGAACCGGGAGGUGCCGGUUUCGAUUCCGGUCCGUCCCGGUCCGUUACCUGUUCCGUCUCGGUUUCGGCUUGUACCGGUUUGGUCCGGACAGUAGCGGGUCCGGGAGGGGUAAUGGGACGAAAAUCGGGAUUUACCGGUUAGUCCCGGUUCUGGUCCCGAUCCAUCCUGGUCCGGUCCGAUUUUUUUAAAAAAAAAAAUCUUAAAUUUAAUUAAUAUAGCUAUUGAGAGUCGUUGGACAACGGGUUUUGGGCCCCACCAAAGGCUCUUUCACCCCCCAUAACUCCCCUUUACACCUCCCUACCACCCAAACUUUUUUUAAUACCCCAACCUUCUAAAAACUACAUUUUCAUCCUUUUUUAAAACUAUAAAUAGCCCCAAUCUUUCACUCUUUUCACUCACAAAAAUAUUAUCUUCUACUCUCUCUACUCUCUAAUCUCUUAUUCUCGUUAAAAUUACGAAUUUGGUCUUUGGAAAUUGGAGCUUCAAAAUUCAACUUUCAAUUUUCGGCUUUCGGUCAUACACGUCUACUUUUUUAAGUAGACGUUUGGUACAUUCGUUCCAACUCACUUUUCAUUUAGUUAUUUAUUUGUUUGCAUUUAAUUAUUUAUUUUGUGAGCAAUUAGUCUCUAGUCUCUACUGAUUUAGCUAUUUAUUUGUUUAAAACUUUGAAUUACAUUUUCGUAUUAUAUAUAAUUUACUCACUUUUUAUAUUUGAAUAUGGAUUUCGGUAAAAAUAUUAUUGAAAAGGGUAAAACAACCACAGUUAAUUCGUUCACUAAUUUAUCUACCUCAAAAUCCAAGAAAAAUAAAAAAACCGGUAGUACUUCUAAAUCUAAAACUAAAAAAACUUCUCAAUUAAGAAUAAAUAUGGAUGAUUAUACGCAUGUUGAUGAAACUGUUUUUAAUAUUGAUAGUAAUAGUGGAUUAGAUCCUUAUCAUGAACAUUUACAAAGAAGGUUUGGUAAUUUUGAUGAGGAAUUACCUGAAGAUGAUGAACAUGAUAAUGUUAAUGAUUAUAUUGAUAGUUUUGAUAAUAAUGUUGAUGAAACUCGACCAGCUACGGCUACUCCCAAUCCCUCUUCCCCUCCCACUCCAUUUCGUUGUCCUGCUCCCGUUCCCCCCGUGCAUCCUAGGACUAAGGUAGAACGCGCUAAAAAAUCAGUUGUGUGGCAAUUUAUGACUCAGAAUGAAGAUAAAACACAAGCUAUUUGUAAUAAAUGUAAACAUAGAAUGAAUCAUAAAACUGUAGGAAAACAGGGUGGGACGGGACAUUUGAGUAAUCAUUUAAUGUCAUGUUGUAAAAAUGAAUUUUUGCAUGCUAAAGCUGUAGCCGAAGCUAAAAAGAAUGGUACCACCCUUCCUGAAAAUGUACCCGGUUUUAUUCAUUAUAUUCAAAUUGUGUAUAAUCUACAUUUUAAAGGUUUUACUAGAAAUACAAUUAAAAAGGCUAUUUUUGAUUAUCAAGCUCAACAUUUUCAAUAUCUUCGUUGUUUAUUUUAUUAUAACAAUUGUAAAAUAGCUAUUACUACUGAUAUGGGCCGUAGUGUAAAUGGUAAUGAUUAUUUCACAAUUACUGCGCAUUGGAUUGAUGAAAAUUGGACUUUGCAAAAAAGAAUUUUAGGUUAUAAAUGUUGUGAAAUGCAUAAAACCGGUAGUUAUAUAGCUCAAACAAUUAUAGAUAUUUUGCAAAACUAUGGAAUUUGUGAUAAAAUAAGUAGUGUCACAUUAGAUAAUGCUUCUAAUAAUAGAACUGUUGUUGAAAUACUAAAACCGUCUCUUUGCCCUAUUUAUAUUGAUGGUUUUCAUAUUAGGUGUGCUGCACACAUAUAUAAUUUGAUUGUUAGAGAUGGUAUAACAAUGUAUAAUGAUGGUUGCAUAAGAGUUGAAACUGCAUGUCAUUUUAUUUUUAAAUGUCAAGUUAAGUCUAGACGUAGAGAUUUUGAAAAUCGUUGUCGUGAAUUUAAUCUUCCACCUAGAAAAAUUCCAAAAUCAGUGUGUACUAGAUGGAAUUCUUUAUUUGAAAUGCUUGAAGUUUCUUAUGAUUAUAGGAAACCUUUACAAAUGGUUUGGAAUGCUCAUAAUUCAAAUAUAACGUAUAGACUUGAUGAUAAUGAUUGAAAUGACAUAAAAGAACUUAUAGAAUUCUUUAAAAAAAAUUUAUCCAACUACAAAAAAAAUAUCUGCACUUUAUUAUCCAACUAUUUGCUCUGUUUUACCUAACAUUUGUGCUAUUUCUAGUAAAUUUUAUAAAUUCAAAAAUAAACCAAGAUUUGAAGAAUCUGUUAAGAAAAUGAUUGAAAAAUUUUUAAAAUAUUUUAUUUCUAUUCCUCAAAUUUAUUUAACCGCUUGUUUAUUAAACCCACAUUACAAAGAUGAAGGUGCAUCACUCAUGGUCGAUAAGAUAUAUUUUAAUCUGGGUAUUGAUAGUGAAGAUGAUGAAACACCUAGUUGUCAAGAUGUUAAAGAUAGUAUAAAAAUUGAAGCUAGAAAAUUGUAUGACUUGUAUAAUUCUAAUAUAAUGAAUGUAGUACGUAAUGAAGAGCCUCAAAGUUCUAGGAGUAGAUAUAAUAAUGAAGAUGAUAUUGAUGAUAUGAUAGAUUCUUAUCUUUGAACUUUCUCAUAAUGAUAGAAAUGAUUUUGAUGCAUAUAUUAAUCAAAAUACAGAACCUACUACUAUUAAUCUUCUAGAAUGGUGGAGCAAUCACGGCCAGGGAUUUCCAAAACUUCAACUGGUUGCUCAAGAUGUGUUAGCUAUUCAAGCAUCUUCAGUAACUUCGGAAGGUGCUUUUAGUGCAGCAAGAUUUCAAAUUGGAGAGCAUAGAUAUUCAUUAGCAGCAGAUAGCUUGGAGAUAUCGGUACUAUUUAGAGAUUAGAUUAAUGGCAAGAGAAGGAGCUAUGGUCGUCCACCUUUACCGACCAAAGUUGAAAAUGACAUUGCUGAAAUAAUGCAAGAUUUUAGUGAUGACGGCAUUGAUGCAAUGGAGGAACUAGCUAAUCAACCAAUUCCAGAGCAUGUUACUAGAGAAAUGUUAAAUGAUUUAAAAAAAGAUUUCCUUGGUAGCAUGAACUAUUAAAUUUAAAUGUCUAUUAGUAUGAGUAUAAUAAUUCGAGGUUUAAUUCAAACAGAACUCUUCCUAGAAGGUGGCUGUGUAGAUUAGAUUUUUAAUACUCUACUAAUAUUUUGUAACUUAAUUUGUACUAUUUAAUUAAUAUUAAUAAAAGUAUAGGCUAUUCGCCUUAAUUUUUUUUAUUAUUGUCUUCAAAAGUUCAAAUUUAACUUUUAAAGUGUGAAAUUUAAACUUUUAUAGUUUUAAAGUUUGAAUUUAAAUUUUAAAACUUUCAAAAUUUAAAGUGUGAAAUUUAAAUUUUAUAGUUUUAUAGUUUUAAAGUUUAUAAUUUAAAUUUAAAUUUUCAAACUUUUAAAGUGUGAAAUUUAAACUUUUAUAGUUUUAAAGUUUGAAUUUAAAUUUUAAAACUUUCAAAAUUUAAAGUGUGAAAUUUAAAUUUUAUAGUUUUAUAGUUUUAAAGUUUAUAAUUUAAAUUUAAAUUUUCAAACUUUUAAAGUGUGAAAUUUAAACUUUUAUAGUUUUAAAGUUUGAAUUUAAAUUUUAAAACUUUCAAAAUUUAAAGUGUGAAAUUUAAAUUUUAUAGUUUUAUAGUUUUAAAGUUUAUAAUUUAAAUUUAAAUUUUCAAACUUUUAAAGUGUGAAAUUUAAACUUUUAUAGUUUUAAAGUUUGAAUUUAAAUUUCAAACUUUUAAAGGGUGAAAUUUAAACUUUUAUAGUUUUAAAGUUUGAAUUUAAAUUUCAAACUUUUAAAGGGUGAAAUUUAAACUUUUAUAGUUUUAAAGUUUGAUUUUAAAUUUUCAAACUUUUAAAUUGUGAAAUUUAAACUUUUAUACUUGUUUUUUUAAUUAUUGUCUUGAAUUUAAUUUUUCAAACUUUUAAAGUGUGAAAUUUAAACUUUUAUAGUUUUAUAGUUUUUAAGUUUGAAUUUAAAUUUUCAAAUUUUUAAAGGGUGAAAUUUAAACUUUUAUAGUUUUAAAGUUUGAUUUUAAAUUUUCAAACUUUUAAAUUGUGAAAUUUAAACUUUUAUACUUUUAAAGUUUGAAAGUUUGUAUUUAAAACUUUAAAAGCAUAAAUUUUUUUGCUUCUAAUAAAAUUAUAAGAGUUUUAAUAUUAUUUGUGUAAUGUUCCUAAUUUUUUAAUUUUAAUAAAAAAAUUAUAAUUUUAACGGUUGGACCCGGUUUCCGGUCCGGUCCGGUCCGGUCCGUUACCGGUCCGGGACNNNNNNNNNNNNNNNAAUUUAAAUUUUCAAACUUUUAAAGUGUGAAAUUUAAACUUUUAUACAUUUAAAAUUUGAAAGUUUGUAUUUAAAACUUUAAAAGUAUAAAUUUUUAACUUUAAAAUUAUAAAAGUUUUAAUAUUAUAAGAGUAAUGUUCCUAAUUUUUUUGUUUUAAUAAUUUUAUUUUUUUAAAUAUAUCCAUUGGGACCCAGUUUCCGAUCCGGUCCCGGUCCGAGACGGGUAUAACAUUUUUUUCCGAAAUUACCAAUUCCGGUACGGUUCCGGCCAAUGGUGACCAGUUCCAUUCCGAUUCCGAUCCGGUAGUCCCAGUUCUGGUCCCGUUGCCACGCUUAGUGUGAACUAAUGUUUAUUGUGCCUUAUCGAAAAGGUCACAACUAUUUGGAAAAGUUGCAACCCUUCGUAAAGGUCACAACUUUUUACUUUUCAUAAAAGUCGCAACUCUUCAUAAAAGUCUCAACUCUUCAUUAAAGUCGCAACUUUUAAUAAAAGUCACAACUUUUCAUGAAAGGGGAAGACUAGUUUUGAAAAUAAAUAAAUUAAAUGGGAAUCCUGAUUUGUGGUGGCGCCAUGUAAGCAGGCCUAGAUGUAAAAUUAAUGUUAUCGAGCCCUGCAUCGAUAACUAGUUUACAUGUACAAACAAAUGUGGAAAUACUUGUUACAAAAAUGUGGGAAUAGAAAAAAAAGAAAAAAAUAUCUUCAAUAAGACAUAAAAUGCGUAUAUGAUGGAAUAAAAAUGAUACUUUUCUAUACAAACUUAACAUGUCAUGUUAAAUACUUGAACUAUAAGAAAAAAUUAAAGAAAGCACUGCAUUUUACUGUUCUCAUAUCCUAUAUACUUUUGUCACUUUUUAUUUCCUCAAAUUUUUGUUGCAACCUGCAGAUCCUACACAUGUGAUAAACCUUAACAAAGCCAUCAACGUUGGCGAAAGAACUAUGUCGUGUAUCAGCACAAAAAAAGUGUGGAAUAUGCAGCUAGCUUUUUUAGUCAGAGGUUCAUCGUUUUGGCUCAUUCAACGUCUUACCCUCGAAAAAUUCACCAAGCAUACGUUCAAGAUCUUCAGCCGAGUACCUGAUAUACUUUUGGGGGUUCUUACCGCUCUCAACCAUGGGCCUAUUCCAGAAAAUAAAUUGAAUUACCAUACAAGAAAAAGACUUACUAUGAAGUUUGAAGCAAUGUUAUAUUGGCAUAAUACAUAAAUAAACAUUAAACUUGAUC
rnacentral:lncRNA from 1 species